rnacentral:misc_RNA from 1 species
CCAAUUUUCACGCAGUGCUCGUAUGUAACCUUGCACAUUGCGACAUCGACUCAAUGUUCUGGCACCAGAAUGAGUUACCUUAUCUGCAUCACUCUGAGGUGCUCCUUCAACUGACCCAAAUUGAGGAGUUAUUUCUCCUGGCCGAGUCAAUUCAUUUGCAAGACUAUGUUGCCUCUCACAGGAGAAUCUUGUUCGUGGCCUGCGAAACAAUUGGUCAUCUGAUUCACGAACAAUAUCAAAAAUGGAAACAUCUGCCUCAUCCACUGCCAAGACAUUAGUGUUUCCUGAGGUG